rnacentral:rRNA from 1 species
UAAGGGAUAUUGGGCAAUGGGCGAAAGCCCGAUGCAGCAACUCCGCGUGGGCGAUGAAGGCCUUCGGGUCGUAAAGCCCUUUUUGAGGGGAUGAGGAAGGACAGUACCCUCAGAAUAAGCCUCGGCUAACUACGUGCCAGCAGCCGCGGUAAAACGUAGGAGGCGAGCGUUAUCCGGAUUUACUGGGCGUAAAGCGCGUGCAGGCGGAUUGGAGAGUUGGAUGUGAAAGCUCCCGGCUUAACUGGGAGAGGUCGUUCAAUACUUCCAGUCUUGAGUGCAGUAGAGGGAAGUGGAAUUCCGGGUGUAGUGGUGAAAUGCGUAGAUAUCCGGAGGAACACCAGUGGCGAAAGCGGCUUCCUGGACUGUAACUGACGCUCAGACGCGAAAGCUAGGGUAGCAAACG